UUCACAGCACGUCAGUUUCAACAUAAACCAUGUUUUCUGUAGCUCUGCUGCUGCUGUUGGCAGCUGGAUGUGUGAAGUGUGAACAGUUGACACAGCCAGCCUCUGUGACUGUGCAGCCAGGUCAACGUCUGACCAUCACCUGUCAGGUCUCUUAUUCUCUUGGCAGCUACUACACAGCUUGGAUCAGACAGCCUGCAGGGAAAGAACUGGAGUGGAUUGGAAUGAGAGCUGGAUCCACCACAUACUACAAAGAUUCUCUGAAGAACAAGUUCAGUAUCGAUGCUGACUCUUCCAGCAAAACAGUGACUCUAAAUGGACAGAAUGUGCAGCCUGAAGACUCUGCUGUGUACUUCUGUGCCAGACACCCACAGUGAGAGAAAACAAGAGGAAACUC